CUUGACGGCGCCGAGGCGCAGCGGCCGGUCGGCGGGCCGGUUUUGGCCGUAGGUGGCGAGGAGGGCCUGGGCCUC
rnacentral:antisense_RNA from 1 species